rnacentral:rRNA from 1 species
GAUGAACGCUGGCGGCGUGCCUAAUACAUGCAAGUCGAGCGAACAGACGAGGAGCUUGCUCCUCUGACGUUAGCGGCGGACGGGUGAGUAACACGUGGAUAACCUACCUAUAAGACUGGGAUAACUUCGGGAAACCGGAGCUAAUACCGGAUAAUAUAUUGAACCGCAUGGUUCAAUAGUGAAAGACGGUUUUGCUGUCACUUAUAGAUGGAUCCGCGCCGCAUUAGCUAGUUGGUAAGGUAACGGCUUACCAAGGCAACGAUGCGUAGCCGACCUGAGAGGGUGAUCGGCCACACGGGAACUGAGACACGGUCCAGACUCCUACGGGAGGAAGCAGUAGGGAAUCUUCCGCAAUGGGCGAGAGCCUGACGGAGCAACGCCGCGUGAGUGAUGAAGGUCUUCGGAUCGUAAAACUCUGUUAUUAGGGAAGAACAAAUGUGUAAGUAACUAUGCACGUCUUGACGGUACCUAAUCAGAAAGCCACGGCUAACUACGUG